UGGGGAAUUUUGGACAAUGGGGGAAACCCUGAUCCAGCCAUCCCGCGUGUGCGAUGAAGGCCUUCGGGUUGUAAAGCACUUUUGGCAGGAAAGAAACGUCGCGGGUUAAUACCCCGCGAAACUGACGGUACCUGCAGAAUAAGCACCGGCUAACUACGUGCCAGCAGCCGCGGUAAUACGUAGGGUGCAAGCGUUAAUCGGAAUUACUGGGCGUAAAGCGUGCGCAGGCGGUUCGGAAAGAAAGAUGUGAAAUCCCAGAGCUUAACUUUGGAACUGCAUUUUUAACUACCGGGCUAGAGUGUGUCAGAGGGAGGUGGAAUUCCGCGUGUAGCAGUGAAAUGCGUAGAUAUGCGGAGGAACACCGAUGGCGAAGGCAGCCUCCUGGGAUAACACUGACGCUCAUGCACGAAAGCGUGGGGAGCAAACAGGAUUAGAUACCCUGGUAGUCCACGCCCUAAACGAUGUCAACUAGCUGUUGGGGCCUUCGGGCCUUGGUAGCGCAGCUAACGCGUGAAGUUGACCGCCUGGGGAGUACGGUCGCAAGAUUAAAACUUAAA
rnacentral:rRNA from 1 species